rnacentral:ncRNA from 1 species
AUUUUAUGGUCUUAUCUCAAACGAAGCCAAAGUCAAAGUGAACCUUUAGCUACAAACCAUCAAAUUGUCGGGAACCCCCUAAAGCAAUCUUAACUAACCAAGUGUAGUAAUAUAUUUUGGGGCGCAGGUAAUGACUCGCGAAGUAAAAUCAAUAUUGAGAAUUGAAUGGGAAAUCCGCAGCCAAGCGCCAUAUUUUAUGGUGUGCAGUUCAUCGACUAAAAGUUGGUUGGCGCAAGCUUAAGAUAUAGUCAGAUCCCGCUUGAAAAAGUGUA